AGCGUAGGCGGGUUUAUAAGUCAGUGGUGAAAGCCGAUCGCUUAACGAUCGAACUGCCAUUGAUACUGUAGACCUAGAGUAUAGAUGAUGUUGGCGGAAUAUGACAUGUAGCGGUGAAAUGCAUAGAUAUGUCAUAGAACACCGAUUGCGAAGGCAGCUGACAAAACUAUAACUGACGCUGAGGCUCGAAAGUGCGGGGAUCAAACAGGAUUAGAUACCCUGGUAGUCCGCACAGUAAACGAUGAUAACUAGUUGUUUGCGAUAUACAGUAAGCGACCAAGCGAAAGCGAUAAGUUAUCCACCUGGGGAGUACGCUCGCAAGAGUGAA
rnacentral:rRNA from 1 species